rnacentral:rRNA from 1 species
AAUUAGUUUUUUAAUUGGAAAAUGGAAUGAAUGGUUUCACUAAAAUAUAGCAUUUACACUAGUAAGUGAAAUUUUAAUUUAAGUGAAAAUUCUUAAAAGACCCACUUAGACGAGAAGACCCUAUGAAUCUGGUAAACUAAGAAUAUGCCUACAAUAGUUAAUUGUUUAUUUUUUGGGGUAAAAAUUAAUAAAAAUAUUAAUAAAUACUUAUUUAACUUAAUCCUCUAGGAAACAUGAAGAAGAUCCUCUAGGGAUAACAGCAUUAUACUUAAAAGAGUUCUUAUCAGAAUAAGUGU